rnacentral:misc_RNA from 1 species
AAGUCGUAACAAGGUUUCCGUAGGUGAACCUGCGGAAGGAUCAUUAAUGAAUUAUAAGCACGGGUUGUUGCUGGCCUCCAGGGGCAUGUGCACAUCUGAGCCUUUAAUCCACACACACCUGUGAACUCUCUGUGGGACGUCUUUCGGGACGCUCUCAUGUCUUUAUAUACACACUCGAGAAUGUCUUAGAAUGUCAACUUAUGUUGCUUUACGCAAUUUAUAUACAACUUUCAACAACGGAUCUCUUGGCUCUC